GCAUGCGCAUCGAUUAGCAAUAACACCACAUAUGGUAAAAAAUAGAUCAGCGAGACCGUUGUGCAUACCUACUGUAUAUGACUAACGUUAAAUAUAUAUUUGAAUCUGUUUAUACGGUCUGCAUAACUUUAGCCCGCUAGCUUGGUUAGCACGGUGCAAUCUAGCUAGCUAACUGAUAUUAAUUGGGAUGCUAACGAAAAACAGUAUUUAAAAAAAUGGAACGUUACUUACCGGAAAAACUGAACUGCAUACUCCUUUGAGUGUCUUGUUGUCAGGGGCGAAUCUACCGGGGUGGCAUAGGGUGGCAUUUGCCACCCCUGCUGCCACCCCAGUUGGCAGCAACGAAUUAAAAGUUUUGGCCAAUUUGACAAUUUACGAGUGUGAAUCUCCAAUGUCCGACUGCGGUGAAUGCAGCAAGAGAUUACGCCAGAGCGGCAAGAGACUGUUUUGUUUGGAAAACUGUCUAUGGGAAAACUGAGUGGCGCAAAGAGAGGGAGCCAGGAGUCGCAAUGAAAGGAGACACAGGAGGAAAGAGGUCAAAACGGAUUAACUAUCAAGAAAUAAAAUUAUAACGAAAGCACAGUGCUAGCAUAGUUGCGAUGCUGAUUUUGAGAUGAUAAAAAUCAGGUUGAAGAACGUUAUUUCGCUAACUAUACAAAUGUUAGUUAGGUCUGACAUUUGGUCUGUGUAAAGCAGGCUACAAAAGCUAAUAUUGAUUCAACGUCUGUCAAGGAAAACAUUGUUACUUUUAAUCUUACAGAAAUGAAGAGGAAAGGUAGAAUAUGUAGUUUUUCUCUCCAAAGAGAAAGGCGAGAGAAAUAGAAAAUGAACAAGUGAGCAAGGUAGACUGAGAAGAUGAGGUGGAAGGAGAGAGAGAAGGGCCACAGAAACGUGACAGAGACAGAAUACAAGACCAAGGCGACCAGGGACAGGAGGAGGUGGGAGAAGACCACAGCGGUGAAGAUAUGGAGGGAGAGCAUCACCAAGAUGAGGAGGGAGAAAGACGUGCAGGGCUCAGACAGUGAAAGGGAAAGCAGAGUGCCUGGGCCAUCACCAACAAUCUCCUGUCGAGCCGGUCCACAUGCUACGUUGCUGACACAACAGUGAAGAGACAGCCAAGCCAGUUGAGAUUGCGUGUGUGCAUCCUUGAGAAGUGUCUUUCAAUGCUCGAGAUCCUGCAGCCGCGGACGGACUCUGCUGCACCGCUAUAGCUUCUCUCUGUCCACCGGCAAAGGCAAUGGAACUUCCCGCCGAAAUCGACGUACAGGUCGUCCUGGACUACGUGGAAGAUCCUCCCGAUCACCACUCUGUCUUUGGCCGGUCCCAUCUGGAUCAGCUGGAACCGGCGCAGCAGCGAGGCGAAGCGGUGUUCCUGCCCAGGGAAGAGACGCAGCCGCCGGCCACGGAACUCUCCACCUCCCGCUGCCGCCCUUCAAGAGAGCCUUAAAGAAAAACAUCCUGACCAGCCAAAUCACCCGUAAAGAUGCUGAGAAGGCGGUCUCCGAGUGGCUCAUUGGUGCUAGGGACCGGGGGGGUAAUAGACAGGCCCGACAGGCAACCCCUCAACAAGGACUUCAGGCUUCAGGCUCAUUUGAGGUGGAAAGGAAAAUAUCUAAUUGUGAUUAUUUUGACUGAUAU